GAACUGAAACAUCUAAGUACCCCGAGGAAAAGAAAUCAACCGAGAUUCCCCCAGUAGCGGCGAGCGAACGGGGAGGAGCCCAGAGCCUGAAUCAGUGUGUGUGUUAGUGGAAGCGUCUGGAAAGGCGCGCGAUACAGGGUGACAGCCCCGUACACAAAAAUGCACAUGCUGUGAGCUCGAUGAGUAGGGCGGGACACGUGGUAUCCUGUCUGAAUAUGGGGGGACCAUCCUCCAAGGCUAAAUACUCCUGACUGACCGAUAGUGAACCAGUACCGUGAGGGAAAGGCGAAAAGAACCCCGGCGAGGGGAGUGAAAAAGAACCUGAAACCGUGUACGUACAAGCAGUGGGAGCACAGAGCAAUCUGUGUGACUGCGUACCUUUUGUAUAAUGGGUCAGCGACUUAUAUUCUGUAGCAAGGUUAACCGAAUAGGGGAGCCGAAGGGAAACCGAGUCUUAACUGGGCGUUAAGUUGCAGGGUAUAGACCCGAAACCCGGUGAUCUAGCCAUGGGCAGGUUGAAGGUUGGGUAACACUAACUGGAGGACCGAACCGACUAAUGUUGAAAAAUUAGCGGAUGACUUGUGGCUGGGGGUGAAAGGCCAAUCAAACCGGGAGAUAGCUGGUUCUCCCCGAAAGCUAUUUAGGUAGCGCCUCGUGAAUUCAUCUCCGGGGGUAGAGCACUGUUUCGGCAAGGGGGUCAUCCCGACUUACCAACCCGAUGCAAACUGCGAAUACCGGAGAAUGUUAUCACGGGAGACACACGGCGGGUGCUAACGUCCGUCGUGAAGAGGGAAACAACCCAGACCGCCAGCUAAGGUCCCAAAGUCAUGGUUAAGUGGGAAACGAUGUGGGAAGGCCCAGACAGCCAGGAUGUUGGCUUAGAAGCAGCCAUCAUUUAAAGAAAGCGUAAUAGCUCACUGGUCGAGUCGGCCUGCGCGGAAGAUGUAACGGGGCUAAACCAUGCACCGAAGCUGCGGCAGCGACACUGUGUGUUGUUGGGUAGGGGAGCGU
rnacentral:rRNA from 1 species